rnacentral:lncRNA from 1 species
GACGGAUGGCUGGCAGGAGCAGGUUCAGGAGCUGGGCCAAGUUUCACACGAAGAGACUUGGAGUAUCUGGAGAAGGUUUUUGAAGACGUUUAGGAGGGAGGGUGAGUUUUCUGCUGAGAAACUCAAUCUGCCAUACAGUAGCGGCCCCAUCUGGGAUCUGUCACUGCUGACAGCACCAGAGGGCACAGCCGUGAUCUUCUGCACAGCCUGCACUCCCCGAAAUACCCUCCUUAAUCAAAGGAUGUCUGCGCGCCUGAGCUCAGCUGACCGCGCCGGGAGCACCAGGGCCGUUGGAUUCCACCCCAGCCCGCCCCCUCCCCACGCACACAGCCACGGCCCCUCGCGUCUUCGCGGCACGUUAAUUAAAUGCGGAAAACAGACAGAGGCUGAUGUCAUUGCUCUCACAAGAUCAUAAACGUAAAAGAGUCAUCC